rnacentral:rRNA from 1 species
UACGUAGGGCGCGAGCGUUGUCCGGAAUUAUUGGGCGUAAAGAGCUCGUAGGCGGCCUGUUGCGUCCGCUGUGAAAUCCCAGGGCUUAACCCUGGGCGUGCAGUGGAUACGGGCAGGCUGGAGGCAGGCAGGGGAGAACGGAAUUCCCGGUGUAGCGGUGAAAUGCGCAGAUAUCAGGAGGAACACCGGUGGCGAAGGCGGGUCUCUGGGCCGAUACUGACGCUGAGGAGCGAAAGCGUGGGGAGCGAACAGG